rnacentral:rRNA from 14 species
UUGACCUCGGAUCAGGUAGGAAUA